rnacentral:rRNA from 1 species
AUUGAACGCUGGCGGCAUGCCUUACACAUGCAAGUCGAACGGCAGCACGGGAGCAAUCCUGGUGGCGAGUGGCGAACGGGUGAGUAAUGUAUCGGAACGUGCCUUGUCGUGGGGGAUAACGUAGCGAAAGCUACGCUAAUACCGCAUACCAUCUAAGGAUGAAAGCGGGGGAUCGCAAGACCUCGCGCGACAAGAGUGGCCGAUAUCAGAUUAGGUUGUUGGUGGGGUAAAGGCCUACCAAGCCGACGAUCUGUAGCUGGUCUGAGAGGACGACCAGCCACACUGGGACUGAGACACGGCCCAGACUCCUACGGGAGGCAGCAGUGGGGAAUUUUGGACAAUGGGCGAAAGCCUGAUCCAGCAAUGCCGCGUGCGGGACGAAGGCC